GACGAACGCUGGCGGCGUGCUUAACACAUGCAAGUCGAACGGUGAAGCGCCUUCCUUUUUGGUGGGUGUGGAUGAGCGGCGAACGGGUGAGCAACACGUGAGUAACCUUCCCCCUUCUUCUGGAUAACCGCCCGAAAGGGUGGCUAACACGGGUAAUUCUGGGCCUGUUGCAUGAUGGGUGUGGGAAAGUCAUUGUUUCGGUGGGGGAGGUGCUCGCGGCCUAUCAGCUUGUGGGUGGGGUGAUGGCCUACCACGGCGAUGACGUGUAGCCGGCCUGAGAGGGUGAAUGGUCACACGGGGGCUGCGACACGGCCCAGACUGAUCCGGGAGUCAGCAGUGGGGAUUAUUGCACGAUGGGGGAAGGACUGUUGCAGCGGCGCCGCGUGAGGGAUGGAGGCCGUCGGGUUGAGAACGUCUUUCGCAAGGGAAGCAGGUCUGCCUGGUGUGUGGGUGGGUUGACGGUAGCUGGGUAAGAAGGGCCGGCUAACUACGUG
rnacentral:rRNA from 1 species